rnacentral:rRNA from 1 species
AGACAGAGGGUGCAAACGUUGUUCGGAAUUACUGGGCGUAAAGCGCGUGUCGGCUGUUCUGCAAGUCGGGUGUGAAAGCCCAGGGCUCAACCCUGGAAGUGCACUCGAAACUGCAAGACUUGAAUCUCGGAGAGGGUGGCGGAAUUCUGGGUGUAGAAGUGAAAUUCGUAGAUAUCCAGAGGAACACCGGCGGCGAAGGCGGCCACCUGGACGAGUAUUGACGCUGAGACGCGAAAGCGUGGGGAGCAAACAGGAUUAGAAACCCUAGUAGUCC